CGGACGAGUGCUACGCAUGCGCCCGGAGACCCCGUAACCGGGUACUGGGAGGGGCCGGGAGGGAGUGCUUCCAAAUCCGGAAAGUGGACAUGUUUGGUUUGGGUACGGAAGCCAUGGCCGAAUCACUGAUGAAAAUUAAUGUAAGCAAAGAAGUUCGAGCCACCAAAAAAUAAGGCUUUAGCGCUUCUUGUCUUUGAUCUUGAACUCAUUCUGAGCUCCAGCCAACUGUGAGCAGAAGGCGAUUGUUGAUGACAAAUUUCAAGGCGGAAGAAACUUCCACCAUACCUACUAAAGAGGUGACCCCCCAACAGCUGAGACCCUUGGCAACCUUAUAAGGUCACUGCUACUUCAGGAAGGCUUCCUGGCUCUUAGAAAAAGCUGCUGCGUACCCCCGACUCGGCACGAAUACGAGACCCUCACAGAGCAUUACUUAGAUGAAUUUUAUUGUCAAUUGUUAUUAUAUUUCUAUACCAUUAUGUCUGUGCAUGCUCUGUGGACUUGUUAACAUGUCGCUUCUUUUGGCCUCUAAAGAGCAAGGAUCACAUUUAGCUUAGCAUUUUCUUUAAAAUUCUGUUGAUGAUAAAGACAAAUGAUUGCAAAAAUCAAAUCAUUUACAACCAAUGCACCUCCAAAUGCAAGUGGUGAUUUUCGUAGUAUUUAGUUUCAACUUUGUGGAUUUUCACAAGCCUUCAAUAAGUAGUUCUGUCAAAAGCCUAUAGAAUGAAUGAGGCCAUACAAUACACCUAGCUUUCAUUGGAUUCCCAUUGCCCUUAAAUCUUCACUUAACCUGACAUAAAAUUGCCACAUUCUUGAAAGACUUACAGCUUUUGAGUUUAACAGACCAAGAUUAAGUGGGACUCUCUCUCUAUUGGCAUCUUGAUGAUCUUUUAUAUAUGGAAAAGGAAAACCUAAAACCAAAAAGGAAAAUUUAAUAUAAACUGUGAUUGUUUGUCAUCUUACAAA